AGAUGUGAGGGAGAUCUGGCUGUGACAUCUGUCACCCUAUUGAUCACCAGGGUUGAUUCAGCUGAGCUGACUGGCUGGGCAGGUGUCUCUUUCUUCCCUCAAUCCUCCACAUGCACCCCUCCCAAAGCUACAUGCUUGGUCAAAGAGGACAAGAACCCCCGAUAGAAGAGGACCUUUCUCUUGGUCAGGGCUUUAGGAGUAGCAGUGCUCCCCUGCUAGACCCCUACUCCUGCUCAAGGAAAAGAGGAAUGAGGCCAGUGGAUAUAAAAUUGAUAAGAGGAGACAUCACAGGUAGGAAUGUUCUUGCC
rnacentral:snRNA from 1 species